rnacentral:rRNA from 1 species
UACGUAGGGCGCAAGCGUUAUCCGGAAUUAUUGGGCGUAAAGAGCUCGUAGGCGGUUUGUCGCGUCUGCCGUGAAAGUCCGGGGCUCAACUCCGGAUCUGCGGUGGGUACGGGCAGACUAGAGUGAUGUAGGGGAGACUGGAAUUCCUGGUGUAGCGGUGGAAUGCGUAGAGAUCCGGAAGAACACCGGUGGCGAAGGCGGCCUGCUGGGCUAUGGCUGACACUGAGGCGCGACAGCGUGGGGAGCAAACAGG